AUCUCUAUACAAUUCUAGAGAGAGAAAGUAGACAGAGAGAGCUUGAAGCUGCAUCAAUGGCGUUCUUAUCGUUCGUCGGUCGUGUUCGUCGGUCGUGUCCUCUUUGUCUCCGUCUUCGUUCUCUCCGCUUGGCAAGAGGGCCCCACCAAAUUUGGACCGUCGCCAACGUCUAGAGGUCGCGGUGAGGACGGGGACAGGGGGGAUGGUGUUUCGGCGUCGUCGAUCCUCGACGGGGAUGGGGACGGACCCCAUACCCACCAGCCUAGAGGAAGUAUCCUAAGACUUUCCAAUGUGAAGGUCAUGGGUUGAAUUCUCACUUGUUGCAAUAUCUUUUAGGUGAACUAGGGGUUUUACCAGAGUGGGCCUUUGGGAAGUGGGUUUCCCGUAGAAUGGUGGGCAGAGGCGGACCCAAUGCUUUAGCAGCCGUAACACGGGCUACGGUCAAGUGCUGUCAUACCCCGAUAUUUACAGCUCAGCCCGGUGGGGAGUAUCGUGACGUAAGAUUGGUAUCGUCAUAGUCAAGCAUACACAGAAUAGCACAGCGGAAGUCUUGGAAUAUAAAAUAUUAUUACAAACCCAAUUGUCUGAAAAUACCGAAAUGAUAAUUACAUACGAGCUUGUAAUAUUAAAUCCACAGGUGGAUCAUUAUAAAAUGUACAAAAUUAAGU
rnacentral:lncRNA from 1 species